AGUAGUGUUUUCUUUCAAAUUGGUGUUAGAAGUUGAGCUCACAAAAAUUGAGUGCUGUAAAAAUGUCAAAAUAUUAUUCUGUCUUGUUGGUAUAAAUCUUACAACAUAAAAGUCUACUUAGUGAAUGUUGUAAUCUUGAAAAGUGAACUGUGUGUUUAAAUACCACAAAAAAAGACACAAUGAAUUUGACUGAAAUUACAAGAAAUUUCCUUUAUUUCAAAGUGAAAUAAGACAUUAAUGUUGUGAAAGUUAUGUUCAUAAGAUUGACAAACAUUAAUGAAAUGUGUUUGAAAUUUUGAUAAUGGAUGUGAAAAAACAUGAUAUAGUCAAAGCUUGUGAAACUCCAUUCUUUUAGGGCUACUGUCUCAUUUUGAAUUUGUAUUCCUCGUUUCUCCCUUUCUGGUUCAGGGGUUCAAGCCUUAGGUCGGUCCAAUGUUGUGUCCUUGGGAAAAGCACUUUACAUGAAUUUCCCACUUGGCUCUUUCCUUUCAGAGACAGACGUUAAACUCGGAGGUCCCACCUCUUAAAUAACCUUAUAGUUUUGAUAGACGUGUUAAAACCAUACCAUUUCACUAUUUCCCCCCCCCCUUUCUGUGCUGACGUUUUAGGAGAGGCUCAUAUAUGCUUCUGUAAUCUAUGUUAGCCUGUUAGCCAGCAAAGCUCAAACACUUACUAAAAAGCCUAUUUUGUUCAUGAAACAGCUAUGUCCAGAAAAAAGUAGAGGACAUCAAACUUGGGCAGCAAGUUCUGAAACCCCCCUCAACCAGUCCCAUUAUCAGUUCAACUAUGAGUACAAUCAAAAAGCGAGAGAACAGCAAGUAACUUUUCACCUAGCUGUGGCCUUCUACAGGGCUAGCAACACAAUCGUCUGGGACAGCUUGAUUUUCCUCAGCAAUGGCAUCACCCAUGAUGAUCAAGCUGUCCAGGAGUUCACCAGACGAUAGCUGGGGCUGUUGAGACAGAAGCUGACCAAGCUCACCAUCAGUCAGCACAAGGAAGAGGCAGCUUCCAUGAUCUAACAGCUCCUGCCCCGUCAGCCCCUAAGGUGCUACUAUGACUCCGAGCACGGAAAGGGGAAGUCGGUUGUAGAGACUGGCAUCCUGAGCCAGGCCUUGAAGUGGGCAGUCUAUGAAGGAAGAAACUUCUCCUGCAUCAAAGACAUGGUGGACUGAUAUUCAAAGAAAUAUGGCACAGACAGAAGGUGUGUUAAUAUUGAGAUUUAGAAAGAGAAUUGAAUGAUUUGUAUAUGUGGACAAUUUGUAGGCUGAGUCUUUUUGUACUUUUUUGUUUCUUGAUAUCCAGGCAAUACAUUCUGGUGCCAGAAAUUGACACAGUGGAGCUGAUUCCGGGCGUCCAGACACAAAAGUACCAUCAGUUCCAGGCCCUGAAGGAGUUUGUGCUGCACAGGAGAAAGUUUGCUUGCUUCUAUGCCACCUUUUUUUUUUUUUAACUGUUGUUUAUUUUAAUAAAAUUAUGUAUGAAAAUGGUCUAUUGCUGUGUGUCUUGUUUAUUUUCACAAUAUUCAUGUGUUUUCAUGUGGUCUGUGACAGUUUUCAGGCCAUGGGGUCAUUUUUUAUGUAAAUUAUACAAAUAAAAAUCAUUGUUGGCUAGUCCAGACCUGAGAGGUCUGCUCCAGCUGUUCUGAAAUUUUACUGCUAUUGUAGUAUUUGUUGACAUUUUUCUUGAAAAAAAUUACUACUUAAAAGUUAGAAAGAGAGGAAAAAAAUGAGGGCACAUGUUUUUAGGCUGUUGCCAGUUAUGCAUCAAAAUUUCAUAUAUAUUU
rnacentral:lncRNA from 1 species